rnacentral:rRNA from 1 species
UACGAAGGGGGCUAGCGUUGCUCGGAAUCACUGGGCGUAAAGGGUGCGUAGGCGGGUCUUUAAGUCAGGGGUGAAAUCCUGGAGCUCAACUCCAGAACUGCCUUUGAUACUGGCGAGCUUGAGUCCGGGAGAGGUGAGUGGAACUGCGAGUGUAGAGGUGAAAUUCGUAGAUAUUCGCAAGAACACCAGUGGCGAAGGCGGACUCACUGGCCGGUACUGACGCUGAGGUGCGAAGCGUGGAGCAACAGGAG